UUUUUUGCUUUUUUUUUUUUUUUUCCCUUUCAAAUCUCUUGAAGUUGACUCUCAGAUAUUUUGGCUGUGUGUUUCUGUUUGUCAUUGCUUUUUACCACCUCCCUCGCAGGUCCCUGUGCCCCUUUCUCACACAGCUGGACAGGCAGUUCCCUAACAAUGUGUUUUGAAUCAGUGAACCUGUUAGGCUUCUGAUCAGGCCUUUUUAUAUUUUCUCUUACACUCUGAGCUACCUUCAGUGGGUUCCAGCUGUUUUCCUGCAUAAGUGGAAUAUAAUUGCUCCUUCCAUUUAGCCUGAAGUAAAUAUAUUUAAUAAAGCCAUUAGUUCUGCCCUGCUUUAUGGGAUCACUUGAUAGCAGACUAAAAAUUUUCCAAUGAAAUAAGACUAUGUUAAGAAGAGAAACACUGUGAAUUCUCUAAAAACUUAAUAAUAUUUUAGCAAAAAUGUCACAGCUUAAAAACAUUGAUUGCUUAAACUAUGGUUCUUUUUCUUACAGUCAGUAAUCCAGUAGUUCAUGACAACUGCAAAAUUGAGUCUGAGUGAUUUUGCUGUAACUUUGUUUAUGAAACAAAGUAAUUUUCUAGCUUUCAAAAUGUCAUAAUUUCAUGAAGUAUAUAAUUAGGAUGUAACUUUUUUGUCUUCUACCUACCUGGAUACUGUUCUGUUUAAAAACAGAAACCACAUCUUGCUUUUGAUAUGGAAGAAAAGCAUUUUGUGUAGGUAAUAGUCAGGCCGAUUUAAGGCAAAAUCCAUGCAGCAUGACAUUUUGAAGGUCUCCUUUAAUAACAAAUGUAGAGAUGGUCAUGCCAAACCUUUUCACGAGGGUUUUUCAAGCAGUAUUAAACCUUCGCAUUCAAGGAUCUGUGUCACUUUUAAAGAUUCAGGCAUGCUUCCUCCAGCAAAUUAUUGGUGCUGAGCAUGUGAUUUUCUGUGGAUUUAUCUGGGGGCACUGUGCAAGCCCUGCAAUCCCAGGCAUUCAGUCCUGCCCUUCUGGCACCUUGGUUCUGGCCUGGCACAGGUGUGUGCGUGGCCUCAGUGUGAACCAGACAGAUGGGGGAAAUGAACUGUGUGAGAAACAAGCGUUCACAGCCCUGCUGAGCUCACAGCCUCCCCUGGCUGCCUGCCUACCUGCCCACACUUGCUCCUUCCUCUGAGCUGCACCUUUUCUGCUAAACAGCAGAAAUCACUUGAGCCAAUGUAGUGCUGAGCACCUUCUUUGCCUCAGUUCCUCUUCUCCAGCCCCUUUGAAGCUGUUAUUGCAUGGUAGUUGCCUUUUCCUUUUUAUUCCUUCCCAAAGGCUGCCACAGUUUUCUUUUCACCCUGACUGGUGGCACCACUUCUGCCCCUGCUAGAGGAGAGAGUGCUGAAGCAGCACUCCUAAAUUCCUCUUACUCAUCCAGGGCCACUUAAAUGCAUUUGUGUGAUGCCUUCCAGCAUGCUGCUUUCCUGGGAGCAGCAGGUUGCUCUGGUGGAGCCAGGAUGAUCCAGCAAGGCUUGAUUACCCAUGCUCCACAUAUUCCUGGGCAUGUGCCUUCAGUGCUGCAGCAUGGUAACUCUCCCUCUUUGGCAACCAAUGCCCUGUGCUUUGUGCUGGAGUCUGGCUGCAUCCCUUCCCAGGCACAACUGAAAUAUGUGGGGUUUUCAGCCCCUCUCCCCCCUUUGGCAACCAGUGCCCUGUGCUUUGUGCUGGAGUCUGGCUGCAUCCCUCCCCAGGCACAAAUAACUUGAAAUAUGUGCUCUUUUCAGCCCACAUUUAUUAAAGCUCUCAGUAGCUUUGCACUGGAACACUUUCCUCGUGCUCGAAAGUUGAAAUUUUCAGUUGUGUUCUGAGACUGGUUUUAACUCCAGCCUUAAUGGUUAAACAAUUUUAGUCUUUUUGUUAGUAAUUUAUUACUUGCUGAAGGUUCCUUCCUGAGGAUAGGAUCAGACUAUUACGGUUUCAUCUGUUGCUGUUAUUAAAAUUUCUCUGCACUAAAACUAAACCUGCUGCUUUCAUUCCAAUUCUAAACAGCUCCCCUCCUGCCCCCAGAUAAACCCCGGCACAUUAGGUUCUUAGCAGGCACGUGCUUGUCUGCAGUGUGGCUCUCUGAUGAAGUUCUGAUGAAGUUUAUGAGACUGCUUGGAGAUUUUCUGCAGUGUUUGUCCACAUAGGAAUGGGAUAUUGUUCUUCAGCAUUGUUGGAUUUGGAAUUCCGAUAUUACACAUACUGUGUAUGAAAUAAUUAACUAUAAUUUACUGUGAUUUUGAGGGUUGCAUUUUUCCUGCGUGUAAGAGCCUAGGUUUUUAUCAAAUGACUUUUUUUUCUUGGACUGACUUACUGUCAUAAUCACUUUGCACAACUCUAACCCUUUACUACUUCUUUUGCUAUGUAUUUAUUUGGAAGGUACUGAGCUUUACCUUUUUAUAGGCCCAGUUUCUGCCAGUGGCUUAGCUUGGGGAGAGCUAGAGGGAAGCUACCUACUAUCAUUAGUAGAGCUACAUUUUUUCCUUUCUGACUUCCUAUGUACAUAUUAUAAUUAUGAAUAAUUCUUUUUUAUUUACCUUCAGUCAGAGGGCCUAAUCUGAGCCACAAAAACAAAUUUAACACAAGAGAAAGGCUUAUUUCAGGAGAAGGGAGAGUCUAUACCAAUAUAAUUACAUUGAAUUCUAGUGUCAUUCAGGAAAAUAAAAAAAAAAUCUUCCUUGUGAACAUUUAAUCAAUAAAUCUUUUAUCAGUGUUAGAUUUUCAAUGCUUUAAGUGACUAUAUGAUUUCACUGUCUUAUCUUUAGAUAAGCAGAAUUGCGAAUAUUAUAAACUUAAAGAAGGUGUGUGGAAUAUUUUGUGUGUGGAAUAUUUUUGCUGGUUGUGUUGCCUUUAUCACCAAAAUUUGCCUGACUUCUGUAGCUAUAUAUUUGUGAAUAUGAUUUUGUCAGAUCUCUAAAUAAAAUUCUAGAUUUCAUCCUCCAGUCUCUCUCUAAUGCAGAUAAUAUUCCAAACAUAUAUUGUUGAUUUCCCUGCUAGAGCAAAGAAAAAAUACUGUCAAAACUUACAGAAGGCUUUUUCCUCUUUCUUUAUUUAUUUAAUGCAGAAUUCACUAACUGCAGUAACAUUUCUCAUAAGGUUUAACUUUGCAAAUUCCUUUACUUCCACCCCCAUGCUACUUUAAUUAAAGUUAAAAUUUAACACUAGAUUUUAUCCUGAGAAGGCAACCAUUUGGAGCCAGUUUGUGGGAUUUUGUUUCUGUGAUUUUGUUACCACAACUGUCUGUGCUAAAGUUCAAUAAGAUAUUAUUGAUAGCCAUUACUUAUUGCUGUCUUGAUAAACUGACAUAAACUGUUUGGAGCCAUCAGUUUCAUUCUUUGCCCAGUUGAUUGGCUAGACAAGCCACCAAAAUAUUGAAGAGGAUCAGGCAGUCCUGCUAUUUCCCAUAGGUUAAUAAGGUACAGUAGCAAUUAUAUCUCCCCUAACAUAAUGCCUUUUCAAUCACAUCUCCCUGGUAAUCACCAUUUAAUUUGGCAGAAUCAAACACCUGUUGCUCUAAAAGAAGUAUUUUCCAGCCAGUUACAGAGAAGAUGCCCCCGUUUAAUUAAUUCUUAGUAUGGAAACUUUCAUUAGAUAAUUACACCAAGUCAGGACCUUAUUUUUAUGCCUCACCUGGCAGAGCAGCUCUUGCCCUGUGAAGGGAAUGGGGUCAUCACAGAGCCGCUGCUGCUGCUGCAGAGAAAUCCACAGUGCUGGGGAGCUGUGCCUGUGGUGCCAAAAUAGCUUUUUGUGAGUUCUGAACAUUCCCAUCAGCUUUUGUUUGAGCUCAUUGAGGAAGUAGAAAGUCUGAAUAACUUUAUGCUUUUAGCUGUUCCAGUGUUACUUUAUUAUAAGAGAAUUUACAUUAUUUUCUUCUCAACUGGCAGAAGUAUCCUCUUGGGUUUUGUUGGCGUGUUUGUUUUUUUAAAUGAAGAAUGUUGGUGUUUGCUAAAGACCGAUACAGCAUUUCAUAGCUUUAGAUAUAAGUGAAUGAAGAGUGUUGCAGCAAUACUGAAUUUCAGAGAGCAGGUAAGUAUAAGGAAGGAUCCAUAAAGUCAAUAAAAUCAAGCAAAUAAAAUUACAUUUCUGUC
rnacentral:lncRNA from 1 species